UAGAUUUCAUGUGAGAGAAGAGGGAAGCAAAAUUCACUGCCAAAGAAAUAAUCCAAAAAUCAUCCCUCAAAAUUCAUUAAAAAACGACACCCAUUUGAGUUCGGUGUCUACGCGACGCCUCGGACGCACCCUCCUCCUCUCUCUUUCACACAACACAACAACACAACACAACACAACAGUACAGAGAGAGAGAGAGAAAGAGUUGUAGAGAGAGAGAGAAAGAGUUGUAGAGAGUGAGAGUGUGGAAAGCAGAUGAAGAAGUUGGAUAGAUGGGGUUACGAGGUGAACACCUCCUCCGAUGCUUGCAUUUCUGCAAUCAAUUCCUACUAUCACCAGGUACUGACCUAUGGAAGAGACCGAUCCGUAAUUCUACAAGCUCCGGUCCACGAUCCACACUGUGUUUUAGCAAACAUAUUCGCUGCUUAUUUCCUCUCCUCUUCCAAUCCUUCUCGUGCUCCUUCUCAUCUCCAAGCUGCCAAAGCUCGACUCGUAACACUCUCUUUCAUUCUGUGUUUAUUUAUUUAUUUUUUUAAAUUACGUUUCCAUUUCUUGAACAACAACUAUUCCUCUCCUCUUCCAAUCCCUCUGGUGCUCCGUUUCUUGAUAUU